UUUCUCGGACCCACUUCGCUCUUACCUUUUUUUUUCCCUCUGUGGAUAUUCUUAAUGAAGCUUUCUUUCUCUUGGUGGAAGAUGCCAAUGGAAGACAACUAACUAGGAACCAAAUCUCUGCGAGCAAGAAGAGGGUGAAGGCGACGGUGGACGUAGAGACCAAGGAGAUGGGAGCAGAUUCUUUGAUUGAAAUGGCUAUUUUUCCUGAAGAAGCUCAAAUUGCCUUUUGCUUGUAAAGGAAAACUGAAGCUGAAUGUGCAGAAACUUUUGGCAGAAACUGAAUUAUGUUACUUUCCUUUCCUAAGAGGAGAAGAUAAUUUAUAAACUUCAGAGUACAGAAAGGGAACAAUAAUAAGGUACACACGUUAAAGGGGGAAAGGAAUGAAAAGGACUUAGUGGAAAAAGUGAAGCUUAAUCCAACAUUGGGAGAGUGCUUCAGCUCCUAUCGCAGUCUGUUGCCUCCCUACCACUUUGAUUGCAAGUUCUUGAUGUGGUCAGCUUGGAAGCCUCCCUGAGAUUGAAGAUUUUGCUUUCCACAAGACUAGGAAGUCUACUUCAAGAAUACUCUUGAAUCUUGAUUUGGUUAUUUAUGUGGAAGUUGGUUUCACUUAUUUAUGUCUUAAGUAACUUAAUGUGCAGACUUGCUUUGCCUAUUUCUCAAGUUCCUCAUUUUGUAUUGUCUGUUCGUUGAAAGUAUGGAGGAUAUAAAUCUCUACUCCUCGGGAGUAGACCUCUGGACAGGUUGAAGAAAUAAACUCAUCUUCAUGAACUUGCCACAGGCUCCUAUGUCAGUGUAACUAGAUUUGGGGCAACUGUAAGAUCAGUUUCUUAAACAAGCCUUUCUCAUAUAUGGGUUGUGCUUGUUGAAGGGGAGCUUGAUGAGUAGGGUCAAGUUGCCAACUACAUCCUUAAGUAUUUGAGAAAAGCAUCAAUGUUCAUAGCCCUUUGUUCCA